GUGGGAUGCGGACCCAGGAGCUAGGUAGAGGGAAGAGGACGCGGGAAGCAGCCAUGGCUGAGGUCGGAGAGUCUGGGGCUUGGCUGCCAUUAGUCUCCCAGGCGAGGACGUGCCUGCUGAGAGUCUGGAUCGUAGGAGGUUUAGGCGUUCGGAAAGCGGGUUGUGGAUACCUGCCUGGGCUUUUGAUUUGAGCCCUGGCUUCGGCCUUACUCCUGUUUCUCCCCGCCAAGGACGGCUUCAGUCGUUCUUGGAAUUGGCGGGGUUUGGACCUUAACUUUAUUUGAGAAUCUACUGCGUGUAAGCACGGUUGUCCUGCGGAGGGAUCUCUUCAGAGCGUGUGAGCUAGAGGGUGGGGGAAUGAGGGCUUGGAGAUGCUGAGGUGUGGUCCUUACCCACGUGACACAUUGGAGGUUGAGGUGGAAAAUCUGGCUUUGAAAUCUUCGUGAAGGACUGCAUCAUUUCAAUCCUGAAUCUGAAUCAGUUCCCUUAUUGACUGUAUGAAAAAUGUUUUCAUUAACUGUUAUUUGUUUGGUAAAACCUUGGAGGUUUUAUAAAUUAAAAAAAAUAUAUGUA